rnacentral:lncRNA from 1 species
AUGUUCCUCUUGAGAUCCAUGCCCCCAACAGCUUCUAUUAAUUUUCUCAAUCCAAGAAGAAGAAGAAGCAUAUUUCAAAGUUCAGAGAGGAAGGCUUAUCUAACAGACUGGCCAGUGAUGGAAUGGAUGCUUCACAGAUAUUUCAAGCAGGCUACAAGAAUCCUCCCAGUUGAGUCCUACUACAAAUCCAUCAUUGAUCCUGGAUCCAGGCUACAGCUGGCAAAGGAGAGGAAAUACAGAGUUCAAAAUAAGCCCACCUUGUACCCAAGAGGCAAUGUUGUAGUGAAGAAAAUUAAUGUCAUUGAGAAUAAUAUGCUGAAGUUAGCAUGA